rnacentral:rRNA from 1 species
AGUGAACGCUGGCGGUAGGCCUAACACAUGCAAGUCGAACGGCAGCACAGUAAGAGCUUGCUCUUACGGGUGGCGAGUGGCGGACGGGUGAGGAAUACAUCGGAAUCUACUUUUUCGUGGGGGAUAACGUAGGGAAACUUACGCUAAUACCGCAUACGACCUACGGGUGAAAGCAGGGGAUCUUCGGACCUUGCGCGAUUGAAAGAGCCGAUGUCGGAUUAGCUAGUUGGCGGGGUAAAGGCCCACCAAGGCGACGAUCCGUAGCUGGUCUGAGAGGAUGAUCAGCCACACUGGAACUGAGACACGGUCCAGACUCCUACGGGAGGCAGCAGUGGGGAAUAUUGGACAAUGGGCGCAAGCCUGAUCCAGCCAUACCGCGUGGGUGAAGAAGGCCUUCGGGUUGUAAAGCCCUUUUGUUGGGAAAGAAAAGCAGCAGGUUAAUACCCCGCUGUUCUGACGGUACCCAAAGAAUAAGCACCGGCCAACUUCGUG